GGGGUGGUGGUGGUGGGGUGGGGGUGUGGGGGUGUGUGUCCCCCCCCCCCCAAACCCAGCUCAGGGUCCCCCUGUCCCCCGUGGCAGCGUGAGUCUCAAAGGGCUGAGCACCGAGGAGCUCGACUCCAGUGCGGAGCAGUUGGACAGGCUGGGGGGGUACCGGCGGGACCCCCGCAGAGCCCCCCUCCUCCACAGCAACGACGACCUGGAGUCCCUGAUGUCCCAGGAUGAGGAGGAGGAUGAGGCCGACGUGCAGCGGGCGCAGGAGGAUGCUCGGGCGCUGCCGGGGUUCGGCGCCGGCGGCCGCGGCCUCUCCAAAUCGGUGUCUCUCAGCGUCAUCGACAGCUUCCCCGACCCAGACGGUGAGUGGUGGCACCCACAUGUCCCCCCCGCCCCCACUUCUCCCCCGGGGGGACCCCGCAUCCCCCCCCUCUAUCCCCAUCCCUGCUCCGACCUCCCUAAUAACGACCCAAAAUCGAUGGCGCUGCCGCCAAAGUUAAUUAUUCCUCGGCCUCCCCCCGCGGCAGCGAGGGACCAGGGGUUUUACCACCCAAAAAGCCGCCUCCUCCCUCCCCUUUUUUAAUUCAUUUUUCUUUUACAGUUGCAGAAAUAAUCCCCUUCGCCUCCCAACUGAGCCUGGUCAAUGGGUGAGUUGUUGGGGGGGGGAAAACACACCCCCCCAGACACAGGGCCGGGGUGUGACUAAGGCAGCUCAGAGCCCGGAGAGCCCCGAGGGGAGAUUUAUAGAUUAAAUAUUGGCCCAAAUUAGGGAUAUUUUUUUUUUUUUUAAUAGCUCGUGGGGACGGGACGGCUGAGCCCCGACGGGGUCAGGCUGAGACCUGACACAAUUCACUCAAUCCCAACAGGAACAAACCGCCAGGGAUUGACAGGCUGGAGGGGAUGGUGUCCCCCUCUCCGUGUCCUGGGGGGGCCAUCACGUCCCCCCCCCCCAUCCUGGCAGGGCACGGGGCCACCCCUGUCCCCAAGGCCUGUCACAGCCCAUUCCCAUCCUCAUUAGGGAGGUUGUCAUCGCUCCCGGGACUGGCCGGGAGCCCCACGGGGGGGGACAAGCGAGGACAGGGAGGAUGGGGACACAGAAGGAGAAGGUUGGGGGGAAGGGGGGGUCAGGCUGACCCCUAAACACCCCCCCCAAAAAAGGAUAGUGCUGCCUGGACCCCGCACCCCACAGCAGUGUCCCCCCCACCGUGUCCCCAAGGAUGGUUGGGAUCAGGGGGGGUGGCUUGUCCCCUUUGGGGGUGUCCCCAAGGAGCCAGGGCCCAGG
rnacentral:lncRNA from 1 species